UUCACCUUUCUCCCACAUGCUAUUGAAAACAGCAGCGAAAGUUUGGUCCAGGCGACUGUCUAAAGGCUUUGUGGGACUCAGCAGUGAGGUCAUCAGCAUUUGGUCACAAUUUAUUCUUUAGCUAUCAUUAAUACAUCUGUGUUCCUGAGACCAUAUAUUGAAAAUUGCCUUGAUACCUGCUGGAAGGCAUCCGCUUGGAAUUCAGAGAUAAGCUGUUCUGAGUGGCAUAUGAGGGGGGUGCUGAGUGGAAGAAUGCCAGUGCCACAUUCAAGUCUAGAUACCCUGCUUGCUGGUAAAUACAUGUAUGGGCAAGAAUUUCAGAAUAGCAAUAAACUACAUCAAACUACUGGAUUGGCCAAAAAGUUCGUUCGGGUUUUUCCAUAACAUCUUAUGGAUGGAAGAU